rnacentral:tRNA from 2 species
GUCCAUGUGGUGGAAUUGGUAGACACGCCAUCUUGAGGGGGUGGUGCCGUCAAGGUGUGAGGGUUCGAAUCCCUCCGUGGACA